AUCCAGCUGAUGAGUCCCAAACUGGACGAAAUGCGCGUCCUGGAU
rnacentral:hammerhead_ribozyme from 1 species